GAAACCAUGAGCAUGCGCAACAUCUGCGACAUGUGUGAUUGAACUUUUUCAUAUCAAUUACAGCUUUAAAUAAAUAGUUUUCUUCAUUAAUGCAGCAUUAUUUCCAGUACCACCGGUUGCAUCUAUAUUUUUACCUCCUGUAUACAACAGAAAAUAACUAAGUCUCUACCCUCUGCAAUUACUGGUGCUUCACUUCAAUUGUGGUAGUUGGUCGUUUAGAAACUAUUCCCUCCCGAUCGAAGAAAAAAUAAUCAUGUGGAUUACUAUAUGUGCUUUAGCUGGUGCUUUCUUGCCGUUUUUCAUUAAUUUAUAUUGGAUGCCAGAAUUUUUUUGUAUUGACACCGCCGAAUGCACUAAAAUGCGGCCAUUCAAGUGGCAAUGACAGCACCUAUCAAUUUUCGGCAGUUGACUAAAUGGGUGCAGACCACAUUAUCAUCAUUGCAAACCGACAUGAUGGAAAUCAACUAAAUUUUCCUCUUCGAUUUUUUCAUGUGGAAGCAGUUAUUCCAUAAUGGAUGCAUCGGUCAAUAAAUACAGUUUCCCCAAAAUACUUAAAGACACGUUAAAUGGUGUCGGACAAGUGGACGUUUACAAACCUGUAACGCAAUAUUUGACAAGAAAUACUUGUAAUAUCUGCGGAAAAGUUUUGUUCCAGAUACUUUUCAUUUUUAUUGAACAAAGAUGAAAAAAUCAAUAAAAAUCCCUAAAAGUAGAAACAAA